GACAGAGGGUGCAAACGUUGUUCGGAAUUACUGGGCGUAAAGCGUGUGUAGGCGGUCGGCUAAGUCGGAUGUGAAAGCCCGAGGCUCAACCUCGGAAGUGCACUCGAUACUGGCCGGCUAGAGUACUGGAGAGGUUGGUGGAAUUCUCGGUGUAGAGGUGAAAUUCGUAGAUAUCGAGAGGAACACCGGUGGCGAAGGCGGCCAACUGGACAGAUACUGACGCUGAGACACGAAAGCGUGGGGAGCAAACAGG
rnacentral:rRNA from 1 species